rnacentral:rRNA from 1 species
UUACAGAGAAUGUGCCCUUCGGGGUGUAUCUCCCACCCUUUGUUUACAAUACCUUUGUUGCUUUGGCAGGCCUGUCUAAUGACUACUGGCUUUUGCUGGUUAGUGCCUGCCAAAGGACCUCAACACUCAUAAUUUUGUUGUCUGAGUACUUGCAUAAUAGUUAAAAACUUUCAACAACGGAUCUCUUGGUUCUGGCAUCGAUGAAAAACGCAGCGAAAUGCGAUAAGUAAUGUGAAUUGCAAAAUUCAGUGAAUCAUCGAAUCUUUGAACGCACAUUGCACCCUCUGGCAUUCCGGGGGGUAUGCCUGUUCGAGCGUCAUUGCAACCCUCAAGCACUGCUUGGUAUUGGAUGCUACCACUGUGGUGGUGCAUCUUAAAAGCAUUGGCAGUAGCAUUUGGCUUCUAGCAUAGUAAUUUUCUUGCUUUGGAGUCUAGAUGUCUGGCUGCUAGAACCCCUAAAUCAUUAAGGUUGACCUCGGAUCAGGUAGGGAUACCCGCUGAACUUAA